CCCAGGUCAGAUGCUGAGGACUUUACAAGUAAAGCUCUGAAGACAUGAUCAGGGAGAAUUGGUUCAUACAAGAAACAGAAAGCUCACAAUGAGAGAAGUAAUCCAGACAGAGAUUGUCCGAUCUUCAAUCACGGUGUUUUUCCAUCACACUGAGCAGAGAUGUCUCAAUCUAUCAAUGUUGAAGUAUUGAAGGCUCUCCAGCAAUCUGCUUUGACUAUUCAAUCAACGUCAUGAUUACAGAUCAAGUAAUCCAGAUGCAGAGUAACAGAUCUUUGUUCAUAGAGGCGGACCAAUAAACAUGUCAGCGGAGUUUUUAGCAAAUCUGUGAAGGAUGAAGCCAGCAUUGGGACAACUUGACCGACUUCAAAGGUUCCUCAUUUGAUGUUGGCAACAAUCUACCGUGGCAAGUCAAUCAACUUUGAAGAUCACUUUAUCCAGACAGAGAGCGUCGGAUCUCCAUUCAAGUUACAGUCCAUCACCGGUGGAGAUGCCUUUUAUGAAGUGUUUGUAAAUCUAAAUUUAUAACUACUUGUAUCUGGGAUGGAUCUUCAGGUUUAAUCUAAUAUCACCAAGAUAAUGAAGGCUUUUUCCUGAAAGAGCAUCUUUGUCUGCAAGAUUAAUAUGU